UACGUAGGGCGCGAGCGUUAAUCGGAAUUACUGGGCGUAAAGCGUGCGCAGGCGGCUUGCCAAGUCAGAUGUGAAAGCCCCGGGCUCAACCCGGGAAUGGCGUUUGAAACUGGCAGGCUAGAGUUUGGCAGAGGGGGGUGGAAUUCCACGUGUAGCAGUGAAAUGCGUAGAGAUGUGGAGGAACACCGAUGGCGAAGGCAGCCCCCUGGGCCAAAACUGACGCUCAGGCACGAAAGCGUGGGGAGCAAACAGG
rnacentral:rRNA from 1 species